UGGAGAUGCUCUAAUUCAUUGUAUUUGCAUGUUUCCAGCAGCCAUGUAUCAAAAAAAGCUUCAGCUUUGGGUUGUUGAUUUAGCAGCAUCAAUCAUUAAUUGUUCUGCUAUAUAUGUUCUUAACCAUGACAACCUGAUUAGGCUCUUAGUUUAUUAUGGUCUUUGUUCUGGGUGGAUCUCUGACUAUUCUGGGUUGCUCCGAUGAGGACAAGCUGCUUCUGCAGGUGGACGGGGCCCUCAAGGCUGCUCUGCCUAUUCCUCCUGCUACCCCCACACGUGUGAACACAAAGCCAUCGAUGCAUUAAGGGCUCAAUGUCGUCUCCGCCGGCUGAGCGGCAAGCCGGGGUUGGGCCUGCACACCGUCUAUCAGCACCCUCCUGCGUCUCCAUUCACGGAUCUGCAUGUCAACCCCUCUUCUCCUCCUAUCCAUGCAUCUUCUUUUCCAGAGCUAGGUGUAUGGUUGCAUGGCAAUUUGUGUUUUGUGUCUCACCAUGUUCUGCUUGCCCUGGUUGGCCAAUGAGGCUUUCCUUUUCUGGUAAAGGCCAAAUGUACUAUUCUCUAUGCUUUAUAUUUUUGUAGUUCCUUUGUUUCCAUGCUUGUUUUUUGAUGGGGUGUAAAUAUAUGCUUUUUUGUUCCUUGUCUGGAUUCAGGUAGGGCCUAACAUUAUUGUUCCUUUGUGCAUGGAAAUGUUGGUGGCUUUGUUCCUUUGUGUAUGGAAGGGGGCCUUGAUUAGAAUUUCUAACGUUUGAGUUGUAAUUAGUGUUUUUGUUACACAUGAAAACCUAUGGUUGUUUGUCCAAUCACAUAUGAAAAAGAGAGGAUUGUUUGUCCAACAAUUUUCUUUCUCUGUGAUAGUUUUACUAGAAAUAAAGCAUAGUCACUAUUACAUCCUAUUUUAUAUAUUGUUGUGUCGUGAUAUCUGUAUAGACUCUGUCUACGUCCUUUUGACAUUCCAAGUUUUGUUUUUCUAUGGCUCAAUUAGUUACCCCGUAUCAAGAGAAAUUUAACUGGUAUUUGCGGUAGAGUUAGCUGAAUUCAUGAAGCAAUGAUUUAGUUAUUAUUAAAGCUGAAACACAACAUGUUUUGACAAAUGCGUUCUAAGUAAAGCCUCCAACUAACAUAACCAAAAACAUAUUCUUUAGGUUUAUCAUCUAUUGAAGUAUUAUGUAGAAUUUAAAAGCAUACGAGGCAAAGCAAAUGAGCUCUAUGCACUUUCCAUGUAGCACAGAACAAAAAUAAUCAUGUAUAUUUUGGAUGCACCUAGAUAUACUCAUCAGCAAGGCUGAGGUUAUAGGGCACUCACCCACAUUGUCGAUAUCUCCGUCACUAUGAUCACCCACAUGAUGGACAAUUCCCUUCUUUCUUUUCUCUGUGGCUAUUGACACUUAAUGCUAUUACUGUGUGCAUAUAUGUACUGUGAUCCGUUCUCAUUCUUCAUAUCUUGAGAAACUAUCUCAAGAUACUCGCGUUUGUGUUUUGGAGAAAGCCUAUUCUAUGAUUAAUAUAUCGAGUAUGGAUGGCACGAUAUCACCUCUCUUUAUGAUGAUGUUCUUACAGAAUAUAGGUUUUAUGGUAACAAGUCUUAGCCAACACCUAUACUGAUGCUCAGACCAGAUGAUUAUAGUCUCUCAUUGCUAUUUUUCUUGAGGUGUGUACAUCUAUCUAGACAAUUUAAUUAAAAUAUAGAUUCCAUACAAACCAUCAAUACAUGUUAGUUGACUUUGAAACUAAUCAGUAAAAAGGUUGUCCCUUUCGCAUUUUAUGGACAUAAAGAUUUGGUGUUGACUGUCGAUCUUUAGUUAACACAUGACCUUACAACCGUAGGGAGUGGGAAAAAACUUAUAUGUUUGGCACAUUUGAAGAACAUAUCAUAGUAACAAAGUUUUGGUAAACAAUGUCCUAGAUCUCAACCAUAUAGAAAUACUAAAUAUAUGUUUAUUUGUAUAUGGAUUAAUUAUACAGACUUAUAAAACCCUGUGCGGGGCACAUAAAAGAAAUUUGAAAUAACUAUUAUUUCAAUAUUUGCUUUUUCAGUUGAGCAUAAUAGUUUAUAGCCUGAUAGGCUUGGACAUAAUUGUCUACAUGUACUGCUCAGUAGGCGACAUCCUUUGGGAAAUUGAGGAUGUCCUCGUGCAUUUUCUAAAUACAAUUGUGGCAGAUCUGAGGAAGGAGGGGAGGAAUAAUCUCGCGGGAGAGUUCGGUGCAGAGGAAGAAGAACAAGAUAUUAUUUAUUUCUUGUGAACAGUCAAGCUUGUGCAUUGUCCCACUAAGUUAUUUCAACAAUAGUAGUAACUGUUAUCUCUGGCCAUCUGUCGCGACAUUUUCUUUAACCACCAAUGCAUAUUUAUUUUCUUGUUAAUAACUCUCAUAAUUGCCUGCUACUGUUUCAGUUCUGGGGCCAGGCAACCUUGAAUCCAACGUCCACCUGCAGGCUACAUCUCAGGGGAAAUUGCAAAGCAUAUUAUGAAUUGUUACAAGAAACUAUUUCCGCUGUUUUGGUGCAAGGAUGUUGCUUUUUAGUAUGCUUCCCGUAUCUUGGUAUCUUGGAAUAAUAAACAGAUAGAUGUCGUGUACCAAGAUUGUUCCUUGUUGUUAAGAGGGAUACAAAUAUUAUACAAGAAUUUUUCUGAUGACUCCUAAAGCAUAUUUGGAUAUACAGCAAAGUAUAUUGUCGCUUCCCUGUUAGUAAAACGAUUAUGUUAGAAAUUUGGUUGGCAGCCCCUACAUUUGGCUGAUUGCUAGCUGACUGGAUUACUCAUGUUUGCGGACUCUGGUAACUUAUGCCUACCAAGAACUACAUGAAUUUUGUGUCUUGCUGCAGUGAACAUUACCAAACUAAUUCUAAAGGUGUUAUAAUCAUGUUUUCUUUUGCAUUAUCAACUUUUAACUUUUGUCAUUUGUUAACACAUUCCUUUUGCAUUAUCAACUUUUAACUAUUGUCAUUUGUUAACACGAUUAUUUAGCAUGUUCACUAUGCGAGUACUCCCUCCGUCCGAAAAUACUUGUCAUCAAAAUAGAUAA